rnacentral:rRNA from 1 species
AGCAGCCGCGGUAAUUCCAGCUCCAAUAGCGUAUAUUAAAGUUGUUGCAGUUAAAAAGCUCGUAGUUGAAUUUCGGGGUUUAUCCGUUGGUCGGGCUUUUGGGUCUGUACUGGCGUGAUGGAUUCCUACCUUCUGAAUAACCAGCAUGCCAUUAAUUUGGUGCGUUGGGGAAGCAGGACUGUUACCUUGAAAAAAUUAGAGUGCUUAAAGCAGGCUAUUGCCUGAAUACAUUAGCAUGGAAUAAUGAAAUAGGACGCAUGGUUCUAUUUUGUUGGUUUCUAGGAUCACCGUAAUGAUUAAUAGGGAUAGUUGGGGGCAUUAGUAUUCAAUUGUCAGAGGUGAAAUUCUUGGAUUUAUUGAAGACUAACUUCUGCGAAAGCAUUUGCCAAGAAUGUUUUCAUUAAUCAAGAACGAAAGUUAGGGGAUCGAAGACGAUCAGAUACCGUCGUAGUCUUAACCAUAAACUAUGCCGACUAGGGAUCGGACGAUGUUAAUUUUAAUGACUCGUUCGGCGCCUUAC